rnacentral:rRNA from 1 species
GACGAACGCUGGCGGCGUGCCUAAUACAUGCAAGUGGGACGCAAGGGAACACACUGUGCUUGCACACCGUGUUUUCUUGAGUCGCGAACGGGUGGGUAACGCGUAGGUAACCUGCCUAUUAGCGGGGGAUAACUAUUGGAAACGAUAGCUAAUACCGCAUAAUAUUAAUUAUUGCAUGAUAAUUGAUUGAAAGAUGCAAGCGCAUCACUAGUAGAUGGACCUGCGUUGUAUUAGCUAGUUGGUAAGGUAAGAGCUUACCAAGGCGACGAUACAUAGCCGACCUGAGAGGGUGAUCGGCCACACUGGGACUGAGACACGGCCCAGACUCCUACGGGAGGCAGCAGUAGGGAAUCUUCGGCAAUGGACGAAAGUCUGACCGAGCAACGCCGCGUGAGUGAAGAAGGUUUUCGGAUCGUAAAGCUCUGUUGUAAGUCAAGAACGUGUGUGAGAGUGGAAAGUUCACACAGUGACGGAGCUACCAGAAAGGAC